rnacentral:lncRNA from 1 species
CAAGAGUUGUGGUUUGAAUUCAGAGUUAUAGAGUUCAUGUUAACUACUGCAAUGGCCAACCAACAGGUAAUUGAUGUUGUUAUUUUCCCCAUAUUUUCUGACCAUAAGCAUGGACUCUUUGGAAACCGUACGUACAUUUGUUUGCACAGUAAUUCGCAGGGUUAGUGUGUACUUAAUUCGCAGGGUUAGUUUGUACUCGAAAUCGUCCGGUUUCAUGCCUCCCAUGCAUGUGAAUUCUAAAGAGAAAAUCGCGCAAAUUAGAGUAUCGCGAGAGCAGAAUUUAGGCCCGGUUUGACCGGGACGAAGUCGAUCCAAGAUGAAAAUCGAAAUUUUCACAUGGUCCGCAUGACCCGUUAUAUACGAAAAUUACAAAUCUUUCAAUCUAUUCCCCUUGCGCGCCAGUUUCUUUUUUACAGUGCUUUUGUGAGCAUGUAUUGUUCCGAAGAACAAUGCAUGCUCACAAAAGCGCUGAGCCUGCAUUGUUCCAAGCAUUGUGAGCAUGCAUUAUUCCAAGAGCGCAGCCGAGUGCGGUCUGAAAUGUAAAUUUGUGUUUACAUUCAUCCCGGUCUGAAGAUAUUCGAUUUGGUCCAGUGAGCGGGAUGACUUCAGAUCGGUCUGAACCAUUUUUCGUCCUGCUCUCAUAUAAACAUUUAUGAAUAAUACUAUCGGACCGAAAUGAAAUCGUCCCCGUAGGACUAUAAUUAUACGUCGCGCGCUCUCGUGUAAACGCGGCCAUAUGUUAUAUAUACCCAUUUCUGUUGUCGGCAUCGUAAGACUAUAUGGUUGACUAAAGUAGAACUGGAUACAAAAAUAGUGCUAAUCAUUUUAAUAGUUUUCUCUACUUCACUGGUCCAAUACAGUGUUUCAAAUCAAAUUAUUUACAUUCAGAAAUUUAUAUGAGCGAAGUGUUUUCAUCAUGGUUACCAUGACUACGACCUAAACACAGCAUCAGAAACCAAAGCCCCGAUCGCCAGAUGACUUUCGGACCACAUAUUCAAGUUGCAUGAUUUCGGCUCACACCUGAUGCAUGAAACGGGAUGGACUUGUGGUUUGCUAUCAAACCCUUGGGAUUUAUAAAGCUUCGGAUACACGAGCAAUAUUUUUGAGCAAUAAUAUAACGUAGCCCCAAUUCGCUGACGGACAGACGGAGGUACGCGAUUUCCGUGCCCGAUGCCACCAGAAGUAAUGAAAUUAUUUUAAAUGCUCUUUGGGACUCGUAAUAACACGAGCAAGGUGUAAAUGGACCAUACAGCUAACGUUAUGAAUGUUCCAUCCAGACAAAAAAAAAAAAAUCUAUUAUUAUCAGGCAAAUCGUUUAUUUUGGUAAUUUUCCGUUAAGACGGACCAAUCAAAUAUGCUGCGUAUUCCAUUUUCGUUCGGAAUCCAGGGGUGGUGAAAACUCGUUGUAACCUUCAUCAUGUUAACAAUAUAUAUUGCAGAAAAAUUUCAACGCUAACACAAAUCCAUGCAAAGUGACCAUAAUUUAUGAGCAUAUAAUAUAAUCAGUAUAAAAGACGACCGAUUGGACCUCAUAUAGAGAGUUUAGUUGUUCAUUUUGUAAUUUAUAGAGAGAGGAUGAAGAUUUCAGGUAUGCUUUCGAUUUAGCACUUCAGGAGGCAGAGUAUUUUGCCUUAGCUCAUGCGAUUGCAGUUUCAAGAGAAGAAAUAUGCAGGCAACAACGACGACUGCGACCACCAACGCCACGUUGGCGGUCGCUACCAACGCGAUGUUGGUCAGAGCAAGACGAUCGUGCCGUGGCUCAAUCGCUUGCAGAUUUGCAAAGAGAAGAAGUGUACAGACAACAGCG